AGUGGAAUUGCUGGGUCAUAUGGUAACUCUAUGUUUAAUUUUUGAGGAAGUGCCAACCUGUUUUCCAAAAUAGCAACACUAUUUUACAUUCCCACCAGCAAC
rnacentral:pre_miRNA from 1 species